rnacentral:lncRNA from 1 species
GUUAUUCUUGGGGCUGGACAGUCUUGCUUAAAGAAGCAGCAACCUAAAAAAGCCAGCUCCAUUAAAAAAUGUGGGUGGGGUGAAGUACAUGGGAAAGAGGCAAUCAUGAAAAUGAUCCAUAAGGAAGUUUGUUUUAUGCUUCUGGAAAAGACUUGGCAAUAAGCGAUCGGGGAUUUUCUGAUUAGGGAAAGGUUCUAAAAAAAAAAUAACAAUAAUAAUCAGAAAGCAUCUACACAGCAGAUUAGAGAGAGAAAAGGUUCAAAAUAAUCAAUUUUUAUAAAAGACGACUUUUUUUUUUUUUUUAAUGUUUACCCCAUCUUUCCCCGGCAAUGCCAGCCACUUUUCUUUGUUACUGAGCUUCGGAGACGUUUACUUGCAGAGGAGACAUGAAAGGACAUUAAGUUCACGUCACAUCUGUGAACAUGUUGCCAUGUCAACAGGCAAUACUUUGUGGCUUAAUUAUUGAUUGACUCAUGUUCCUUUAGGACAUAACACAAGCAAUAACAGCACACUGAGCAGUUUUUCUAACUUCGAUACCUAUUUAUACCAUACGAGAGGUGUGGCACUUCAAACCUAAGUAUGGCUAAUGUCUGUAUCAGAGUCAUAUUAUAAAAGACCCUACUACAGUCAUCUUGCAGGAAGAAAGCGAUGGUCUCACACUUAAUUAGGAACUAGGAUUAUAGCUGUUGUCUUCAAGAUCAAAAUCUCUAUCCUGCUCACCUCAAGUUAAAGAAGAGCUCUUUUAGGUAAUGAGUGGAGUAGUUCCUGCAGACACUCAGUCAUUCAACACAUCAGACAUAGCAACGAGAAUAAUUUAUUUCCAGGCACUAACUGUGAGCCACCAGUUACAUUCGCAAGGUGCUCUUCCCCUGUGGAACCCACACAUGCACUUGUACAGAACAGAACGAGGCCAUAAGAGCCUUUUCACGCUUACAGUGAUCCACGUCAUCCGUACCUUGGACACGACGUCUCUACACAAGCAGAAGGUAUCUUAGGAAGGCAAACAGGGAGGGACAAGGAUUCUCCCUUCAGAUCUCACCAUACGAAGAGCCCCCAGAG